rnacentral:misc_RNA from 1 species
CUUAUAAACUAUCACGACGCCCAAAAAGUCGUGGCUUGGGUUUUGCCAGCUGGCGUGAUCUCCUCUAUGAGUAAUCAUGUGAGGUGCCAGAUCUAUGGCGUUUCCCUAAUGUAUCCGGAUGCACCCUUGUCUUGGCAGAAAGCCGUGGUGAGGUGCAGUGGCGGAAUCGUGGUUUAAUAAUCGGGUUGGUACUCAGUUGUCAGUGUGUUUGGCGAUCCCCUAGUCGGCACACUAAUGAUUUCUGGGAUAAUUCCAUACCAGGCACGUUCCGUCACUGUCACUUUGUCAUUGGUUUGAUGCCGAACUUGGUCAUGUGUCUGAUGCUAUUUCAUAUAGCGACGGUACCCUUCGUGGUCUGUCUU